GCUGAGAUAGCUCAGUAGGGAGAGCGUUAGACUGAAGAUCUAAAGGUCCCUGGUUCGAUCCUGGGUCUCGGCA